rnacentral:lncRNA from 1 species
GAUAAGUCUUUGGGCCUCUGAGGAGGAGGAGGAGUAUAUUUUUCACAGGGGAGGAAUGUGAUUCUAACUAACUUUGGAAGCGAGAACCUCGUGACUUCCACCUGGGCCUCUGGGAACACUGUGCUUGGGAUGCUCCCUCUUGGAACCCAGCGUCCAGGCUGUGAAAACCCAAGCCACCUAAAAGGCCACAGUGGACAGCCCUCACUGAGCUCCCUGCCCACAGGCAGAAUCAGCUACCAGCCAUGUAUAUUUAAGUCAUCUUGGUCAUCAGCCUAGGGAAGUCUUCAGAUGACUGCAGCCCCAGGCCAAGAUCUGUCUACAGCUGCAUGAGAGGCCCCAAGUGAGAACCGCCCAGCUGUGCCCAGUCAACCUACAGAACCAAGAGAGAGAAUAGUAACUCACUAAUGGCCUCAGAAAGAUUGAUUUUACCUCUACUGAAAACUGUCUGAAGAUGAGAAGCAGUUUCAGUAAAAAAAGCAGAGAGUAAACAAGGCUAAGAUACCAAAAGUGAAUGCCGCGAUUCCUGAGUGGAACAUGGCACGGAUGAACUGAUUUGUUCCACUUCAUUAGGUUACGUUGAAGUUGGAGAAGUUGGUAGGACUCUGCUGAACAUAGAGGUCAGAAUGAUUCCCUCAGGGAGAGAACUCAGGAGAGAGAAGCUUGUGCCAAGUAUACAACAAGAGUUCAGCAAAGUUGGACAUAGAGAAUGAUAGCAUGGAGAGAUCAAGAAGAAGGCCCUGGGAACCCUAAAAUUGAGAAGUAAGGUAGAGGAGGAGAAAUAUGGACCGGAGACUCACAGGAAUAGGAGGGAAACCAAGGUAAGAUUGUAUCUUGCAGAGAAAGGAGUUUCAAAUAGGAGGCAAUGGUUGACUGUUGAAUGCUGCAAAGGAGUCAAGUAAGAGGGGAAUAAAGAAAGUAUCCAUGCUGAUUUUUCUAAAUAUGUACAUGUAUGGAUGCAUCUGAAAUCCAUAGUAACAUUGUGAGUGGCCAAAUUAGUGUUCACUUAGAGUUUCAGAAUCAUAAAAUACUAAGGAACCAUAGGAAAUAUCUCUUUCAACAACCAUGGAUUCCCACUCAGUGGGAAUAGAAACCAAGCUUCCUAAUUCAUAGUCAACAACC